rnacentral:sRNA from 1 species
GGAUUUUUAAAAAAGGCAGGAACUAUGUGAACCGUGUUAAGGAAGUUUUCCUUAAAGUGGUUCAAGUUGGGAUUGAUUUUUGUGCUCAGUGGGGAGCUUUUGGGGGAGGGCUGGUCCCCAGAGAUGCCAGAUGGAUGAGGUGUGACUGCCUCUGCUAAUGGACCGUGAACGCCACAUUGUAAAUCACCUUGUGAGGGCAAAAUGCAAAGAGGUGACCCUGCACAAGGACGGGCCCCUGGGGGAGACAGUCCUGGAGUGCUACAACUGCGGCUGUCGCAACGUCUUCCUCCUCGGCUUCAUCCCGGCCAAAGCUGACUCAGUGGUGGUGCUGCUGUGUAGGCAGCCCUGUGCCAGCCAGAGCAGCCUCAAGGACAUCAACUGGGACAGCUCGCAGUGGCAGCCGCUGAUCCAGGACCGCUGCUUCCUGUCCUGGCUGGUCAAGAUCCCCUCCGAGCAGGAGCAGCUGCGGGCACGCCAGAUCACGGCACAGCAGAUCAACAAGCUGGAGGAGCUGUGGAAGGAAAACCCUUCUGCCACGCUGGAGGACCUGGAGAAGCCGGGGGUGGACGAGGAGCCGCAG